AGCAUAUAAGACCGCCGCUUCUCAAAUGAGGUUGGAAUGUUCCCUGGUUUAGUUGGGGGAGCCCAAUAGCCCAGUAUUAGCCUUGAGGUAAUAGAGUCUGGGUGAUGGAAUAAGGUUUCCCCAACAGAACUGCGCUUCCCAAGAAUGGGAAUAAGAAUGGGGGCGAGGCCAGCAUGGUGCGGGGGUGUCUAGAGACAGCAGAAACCUGAGGCUGUCCCAAUGGCAUGCCACAGGGGGAACGCCUGAGCCGCUUUGGACUCCGCACAGAGACCACAGGCACUGUCACCUUCCGCUUGCACUGUCUGCAGCAGUCCAGGGCCUUCAUGGAAUCGAGCUCCCUUCGGAAAAGGAUGCGGAGUGUGUUGGACCGUCUGGAAGGGUUCAGCCAGCAGAGUUCCAUUCACAAUGUGCUAGAGGCCUUCCGUCGAGCCCGGCGCCGCAUGCAGGAGGCCCGGGAAAGCCUCCCGCAGGACCUAGUGAGCCACUCUGGAACCCUGGUCUCCUAGCUCACAGCAGCCCUGGCCUACAGUGCAAGAGGACAAGAUGGGGAAUAUCUGAGGCCAGUGCUCUCCUGCCUCUUCGUCUUUCUGAUUAGAGACCACGUUGGUCUGCUGAGAACCAGAAGAGCUGGGAAAUUCCCGGCUGGCCCCUCUGCCUAGCCUUCUGCAGGCUCUUCUCCCUACCCUGUGGAAAUAAA
rnacentral:sRNA from 1 species